AUGGACGAUGCAGGUUCAGAGUCAACGGCUGUGCCCCUCGAUUUAUUACUACAAAUCACAGAUGGUUUCUCCGAGGAGCGGAAACUUGGUAGUGGUUCGUUUGGAGAGGUUUACUUGGGUGUGCAUCCAGACGGGCAAAAGAUUGCUGUGAAGAAGAUCUAUGAUAUGCCAGGAGUUGACGAGGAGCAAUUUCAGAAUGAGUUUAAGAACCUUGCAAGGCUGCAGCACCGAAAUAUUGUGCGGUUAGUUGGCUAUUGCCACCAUAUUCAGGAAGUACCAGCAAUGUAUGAAGGAAAAUUGGUUCUUGCGGAAAAGAUACAUAGGGCGCUCUGCUUGGAGUAUAUGUCUAAUGGAAGCCUUGAAAAAUAUAUUUCUGAUGAAUGUGAUAAAUAUGAUUGGCACACUGGCUACGGAAUAAUUAAGGGGAUUUGCCAGGGUUUGAAAUACCUCCACACUAAAUUAGAGCCACCUAUUUAUCAUUUGGAUUUAAAGCCAGCCAACAUAUUGCUGGAUGAGAACAUGGUUCCCAGAAUUGCAGAUUUUGGGAUAUCAAGGCUGUUUGGAGAUGAACGAACGCGAGCUACAAAAAGUACUUUAGGAACACAAGGGUACUUACCACCGGAAUACAUACGCAACUAUUUAAUCUCAAGUAAAUUUGACAUAUUCAGCCUGGGUGUUGUAAUCAUAAAGAUAAUGGCAGGACGGGCGGGCUACUACAAAAGCGCUGAAAUGUCUUCCCACGAAUUCAUUAAUGUUGUACAGGAAAAUUGGACAAAUAGGCCACAUGAAACAUCGAGUCUGAUGAAGGCAUAUUCCAAGCAAGUAAAGAUAUGUAUUGAAAUAGGUUUAAGUUGUGUGCAGGAGGAUCGACACAAAAGGCCCACUGUACAGAAUAUUGUUGAUAGACUGAAUGAGACAGAAACUGAGUGUACCUGUGCGUAUAAGAAAUUUGAGGUGCAGGAGAACUCAGGGGGGCUCACCCCUAAUUAUUUCAUGAAUAAUGGCCGCUCUGUCAGUGAAGUGCCUCUGAACAAUGAUGCAGGCCCUUCCAUACAAGCUAGAAAUGCAUGGCAAUAUCCUAAAGACAUGACUGCACAACAAGAACUUGGCGAACGACAAGCAGCUUCGCUUCCUAAUGGAAUUUAUGAGCCUCCUAGGCAGAUAAUGGAAGGUUUUCCUGAAUCUGGAGGCACCACUACAGUUGAAAGACAGGAUCUUGCAGUCAGAGUUCAAGAAGCAAUCACUGAUCCUUUUGUCGUCAAAGACCGCCGAAGCGCAUUAAAUGGAAAGAGUUAUCCUCCAUCUAAAGAAGAAGCGGUACAUCGUAUGGAGAACGUUUCUCUAAAGGGGAAGCGUUGCAAUGACCUAGCUGAUAAAAAUAUUACUACAGUGAAGCGCUUUAUGGGUCAUUAUCACAGAGACAAAUCUGGUCUCCAAAAGCUUAAAGUGAAGAGCUGGAAAUUGCCCGCAUUCAAGAAAUUUGAGGAGCGGGAAAACUCAGGGGUUCUUAUUCCUGAUUAUUUGAUGAUGAAUGGCUGCCCUGUCCGUGCAGUGUCUCUGAACAAUGAUGCAGGUCCUUCUGUACAAGCUAGAACUAUAUGGCAAUAUCCUAAUGACAUGGCCGCACAACACGUAUUUAGUGAUCGACAUCCAUUGAAUGGGUUCUCACGGGCCGCAGUCCUGUCAAACAAUGGCGCCGGUCCUUCAAACCAAGGAACACUGCCGUUUUCACAGCCCACAUAUGAACAGACUGUGCAUCAAGGAAAUGGUCAGCACGAUCCUUCUAUGGCGCAGAAUGGAAUUCCUGAUUAUCUGCCCCAGGGAAAUAUCUUAAAUGAUCAGGGAUCACUUUCAGCACAGCCAACUCCGUUCCACAAUUUUCUACCAGUUCCAGCGGAUGAGAUGAUCACAGGUGCAAGUCUAACUGACGAACAGACUGAAUACUUCUCGACAACUGAUUCUCUUGGCACUCUAGAAAAUGCAAUUCCUGGGCCUGAAUUGGACAUAUCCUGUGACAGCCCCAAGAGCUUAUUGCAAGCCAAGAAUCCUUUGAAACAAGGUAACUGGAGACAGCUUCUGGGAAUUAAUACAGGAGACUUGAAGCAGGUGAUCAUAGCAUGUGGUAAGGCUGCUGCAGAGAAUGAUAUACAUACAGAAGUGCUGAUAUCUGAGCUACGUCAGCUGGUGUCUAUCUCUGGAGAUCCAAUGCAACGCCUAGGAGCAUAUAUGUUGGAAGGCCUUGUUGCCAGAUUUUCUUCCUCUGGAAGUAAGCUGUAUAAAUCCUUGAAGUACAAAGAACCUACAAGCUCCGAGCUCAUGUCUUACAUGCAUCUCCUUUAUGAGAUGUGCCCAUUCUACAUGUUUGGUUACAUGUCAGCCAAUGGCGCCAUAGCAGAGGCUAUCAAAGGCGAGAACUUCGUUCACAUCAUUGAUUUCCAAAUCGCACAGGGGAGCCAGUGGAUAACUAUCAUUCAGGCUCUUGCGGCGAGGUCCGGGGGUCCACCAUGCCUAAGAAUCACUGGUAUAGAUGACUCAAACUCUGCUUAUGCCCGAGGUGGUGGACUGGAUAUGGUUGGGACAAGAUUGCAUAGUGUCUCUGCGUCGUGCGGUGUGCCCUUUGAGUUCAAUGCUGUUCAUGCUGCUAGCCAUGAGGUUUAUCUUGAGCAUCUUGAUAUAAGACCUGGGGAGGUCAUUGUGGUGAAUUUCGCCUAUCAGCUGCAUCAUACUCCUGAUGAAAGCGUGAGCACAGAAAAUCAUCGGGACAGGAUUAUAAGAAUGAUCAAGAGCCUAGCCCCCAGGGUGGUGACUCUUGUUGAGCAGGAGUCGAAUACAAACACAACUCCAUUCUUCCAAAGAUACUUGGAGACCCUCGACUACUACACGGCAAUAUUCGAGAUAAUAGAUGUUGCUCUCCCAAGGGAUGACAAGACACGGAUUAGCACGGAGCAGCACUGUCUUGCCAGGGAUAUCAUCAGUUUAAUCGCGUGUGAGGGUGCUGAAAGGGUUGAGAGGCAUGAGGUGUUUGGAAAAUGGAAGGCAAGGUUUGCAAUGGCUGGAUUUAGGCCGUACCCACUGAGUUCGCUGGUGAACAACACCAUCAAAACACUGCUGGAUGGCUACCACCGUUGCUACAGGCUUGAGGAAAGGGACGGAGUCCUUUACCUUGGUUGGAAGAGUAGGAUGUUGGUCGUGUCUUCUGCAUGGCGCUGA
rnacentral:rRNA from 1 species